GAUGCCUACCAUAAGUCUAUUUAAGGUCAACAACACUGCAAUAAAUAAAUCAUGCUUUUCACAUCAGCAAGUUGUUAUAAACUCUCCAUACGUGACUGUAAUACACUCCUUAUGACAGAAGCAACACCACUCGCUGGGGCGAAUCUACUGUACGAUAGUGGAGGCGGACCUGCAGCCCACAGCAUGACGCGACCCGUGCAUUCACUCUACGGUCGGCUAAAAUAAAAAAGAAAAGGCGAAAAACGAUAGAAAAAAACAGAACGAGUGGGAAAAAAACGUCGACGCUGGAACCGAGGCGGUUUUACGCAGACUUCCGGCACAUGAGUCUCGACGAUCGGGCGACAGCAGCGCCAGCGGCUCACAUCAACAGCCAAAAACAAGCUUCAAAGUGAAAAAUAAAGACGAUUACCAGCUCUCAAGACUUUAGCUUCGCCCGCCGGGGAUUUCCUCCGAUCGGGGUAGUUUGUAAAGUCUUUCCGAACCCACCCGAUUGAAGAAUUUCAAUGUUUUUUUUCCCUCCCUUGUGUUUUUUCUAUUUUUUUCUUUUCUUACGGAGUUAGCCGAACUGUCUACACAGCACUUCCUCCCGAGCGGCGCGAAUGAUGCCCGUGCGUCAGGACGUCAUUUCCGCCCAGUAAGGUCAAACGUGUCCAAGAACUUUGUUUUUAACACCGUGAAUGUUCAUUACGCUUUUACACUAAAACACAUUAUUUUGUCCUAUAAAAACAAUGAUUUAGACAUUGUAAUCAUUGUUUCACAUUGUUAAUGAAACAUUUGCAAACAUCCAUCACAAGUUCCAGAUUUUUCGUUUUCAGUUAAACAACUUUCUGUAUUCUUCAAAUGAUCAUACAAAAUUGUAAGGCACUGCAAUUGCAUGCUUUCAAACGUACUUACGUUUGUAUAGAUGUAUGCUACAAAGCAAUGUUCAAUUAAUCUACUGGUAGGCCUGUGCCAUGUUUGUUGUAUUUUACACCUGUAUGUAUGUGUGUUGCUUAAGAAAUAAAAAAAUGUCAAAGAACAAAAGUGUUGUAAUACACAA